UAAUGGGGUGAAACGGGACAUGAUAUCCGUGUACAAACAUUUGAUGCAGCGCCCGAAAGAUGGCAUUUUUGUUCGUGAGGCCAGCGUUCGGAUAUUUUCGACUGCAGGCCUCUUUAACAGAAGUGUCACGGGCGCUGCAUCAAAUAGAACUAAAGCGGAAGCCAAGCCACCCUUGCAUGCUACGAAAUAUGAAGUUCUAAAAGCAUUUUUCAGGCACUACCUGGAGAGCCGAUGCAGCAGCCCCGCAGAAAUUGCCACAAGGCAUAGUUGCCUUGGCAAAAUAGUCGCCUGCAAAAUAGCCGACAUCAUGAAGGGGCAGAGGAAGCAUAUGUAGUUUUGUUUUGAGAAUAUAUUUGUGUACAUGUGCCUGAA